rnacentral:rRNA from 1 species
GAUGAACGCUGGCGGCGUGCUUAACACAUGCAAGUCGAACGGAGCUUAUUUGGAAAGCUUGCUUUUCGUUUAAGCUUAGUGGCGGACGGGUGAGUAACGCGUGGGUAACCUGCCCUAUACUGGGGGAUAGCAGUUGGAAACGACUGAUAAUACCGCAUAAGCACACAGCAUCGCAUGUUGCAGUGUGAAAAACUCCGGUGGUAUAGGAUGGACCCGCGUCUGAUUAGCUAGUUGGUGAGGUAACGGCCCACCAAGGCGACGAUCAGUAGCCGGCCUGAGAGGGUGUACGGCCACAUUGGGACUGAGACACGGCCCAAACUCC